rnacentral:rRNA from 1 species
AGGACGAACGCUGGCGGCGUGCUUAACACAUGCAAGUCGAGCGGUAAGGCCCUUUCGGGGGUACACGAGCGGCGAACGGGUGAGUAACACGUGGGUAACCUGCCCUCAGCUCUGGGAUAAGCCCGGGAAACUGGGUCUAAUACCGGAUAUGACCUCGUAUCGC